rnacentral:rRNA from 1 species
AUCUGUGAAGUAUAAAUAAAGUAUUAAAUGUUAUUUACCUUUUGCAUAAUGGUUAAAUUAAAAAUUAAAUUAGAAUUAAUUAUCCCGAAAUUAAAAGAUCUAUCUUUAUAUAAGUUUUAGAAUUAUUUUAAUAAAUUUGUCUCAUAAAAUUUUGAAAAUUUAAAGUUAGGUGUGAAAGGCUAAUCAAUUUUAUAGUUAUCUGGAUUAAUUUUAAAAGUAUUUAGUACUUAAUUACUUUCUAGUAAACUAGCUUUUAGGUUAGCUUACUUAAAAGUAUAAUAAAUUAGCUUAAGUGAACUUUGAUAAUUCUUGUAAGUUUUAAUAUUAUUUUUAAUUUAUGAUUGGUGUUAAUCUUUGGCAUAAAAUUAUAUUUUUAUUAAUUUCUUUAAAAAUAAAUAAUGUUUAAAUUAGUAGUUUUAUAAAAUAAUUUAAAAGGAACUCGGCCAUCAAUAUUCAACUGUUUAUCAAAAACAUAGUCUUAUGAAAUUUAUUUAAGAUAUAACCUGCCCAGUGAGUUUUUAACGGCCGCAGUACUUUGACUGUGCUAAGGUAGCAUAAUAAGUUGGCUUUUAAUUGAAGUCUUGUAUGAAAGGAUUUGUGAAUAUUUACUGUCUUUUAGAUUUUAAAGUUAAAUUACUUAAAAGGUGAAAAUUCCUUUAAUUAAUUAUAAUAGACGAGAAGACCCUAGGAGUUAUAUUUAAUUUUUGUUGGGGCGACAUUAUAGCAUAUAAACCUAUAAUCUUUUAAAAAAUUUAACGAUAUUUUUAAUUAAAAAUAAACUACCCUAGGGAUAACAGCAUUAUUUUUUAAAAGUUUGUGACCUCGAUGUUGGAUUAGGUAUUUUCAGUAUUAACAAUACUGAAAGUAUGUUCUGUUCGAACAGUACUUACCUACAUGAUCUGAGUUCAGACCGGCGUAAGCCAGGUCAGUUUCUAUCUUUUUUUCUUUAUUAUUAGUACGAAAGGACCAUAAUAAAUUUUAAUUAUAU